GGGACAGAGGGUAGGAGGAGAGAUGAUGUAGAGGGUAUAUACAGUAGGUCAUAGAGGGUAGGGGGAGAGAUGAUGUAGAGGGUAUAUACAGUAGGUCAUGGAGGGACAGAGGGUAGGAGGAGAGAUGAUGUAGAGGGUAUAUACAGUAGGUCAUAGAGGGUAGGAGGAGAGAUGAUGUAGAGGGUAUAUACAGUAGGUCAUGGAGGGACAGAGGGUAGGAGGAGAGAUGAUGUAGAGGGUAUAUACAGUAGGUCAUAGAGGGUAGGAGGAGAGAUGAUGUAGAGGGUAUAUACAGUAGGUCAUGGAGAGACAGAGGGUAGGAGGAGAGAUGAUGUAGAGGGUAUAUACAGUAGGUCAUGGAGGGACAGAGGGUAGGAGGAGAGAUGAUGUAGAAGGUAUAUACAGUAGGUCGUAGAGGGACAGAGGGUAGGAGGAGAGAUGAUGUAGAGAUGAUGUAGAGGAGGGUAUAUACAGUAGGUCAUGGAGGGACAGAGGGUAGGAGGAGAGAUGAUGUAGAGGGUAUAUACAGUAGGUCAUGGAGGGACAGAGGGUAGGAGGAGAGAUGAUGUAGAGGGUAUAUACAGUAGGUCAUAGAGGGUAGGAGGAGAGAUGAUGUAGAGGGUAUAUACAGUAGGUCAUGGAGGGACAGAGGGUAGGAGGAGAGAUGAGGAGGGUAUAUACAGUAGGUCAUGGAGGGACAGAGGGUAGGAGGAGAGAGGGUAUAUACAGUAGGUCAUGGAGGGACAGAGGGUAGGAGGAGAGAUGGGUAUAUACAGUAGUCAUGGAGGGACAGAGGGUAGGAGGAGAGAUGGGUAUAUACAGUAGGUCAUGGAGGGACAGAGGGUAGGAGGAGAGAUGGGUAUAUACAGUAGUCAUGGAGGGACAGAGGGUAGGAGGAGAGAUGGGUAUAUACAGUAGGUCAUGGAGGGACAGAGGGUAGGAGGAGAGAUGAUGUAGAGGGUAUAUACAGUAGGUCAUGGAGGGACAGAGGGUAGGAGGAGAGAUGAUGUAGAGGGUAUAAACAGUAGGUCAUGGAGAGACAGAGGGUAGGAGGAGAGAUGGGUAUAUACAGUAGGUCAUGGAGGGACAGAGGGUAGGAGGAGAGAUGAUGUAGAGGAGGGUAUAUACAGUAGGUCAUGGAGAGUCCUGUUAGUUACUGUACCUCUUGAUCAACUGAAGGCUCUUACACUGGGCAUGCUUGUGUCAUUGAUUUAUGGUGGGAGGAGGGGUGUGUUCAGCGGGAGGCGGGAG
rnacentral:lncRNA from 1 species